GCCUGGGUGGCUCAGUUGGUUGAGCUCUUGACUGUGGGUUUUGGCUCAGGGCAUGAUCUCAGGGUUGUGGGAUCAAGUCCCACAUCAGGCU
rnacentral:tRNA from 1 species